rnacentral:rRNA from 1 species
AAUGCCCCAUGGUGAUGUCCUCAGGCAUCUGAGGUCAUCUAAAGAUCCGUCGGAUGGGGAUAGGCUCGCGUGACAUUAGCUAGACGGCGGGGUAACGGCCCACCGUGGCGACGAUGUCUAGGGGUUCUGAGAGGAAGGUCCCCCACACUGGAACUGAGACACGGUCCAGACUCCUACGGGAGGCAGCAGUGAGGAAUAUUGGUCAAUGGCCGGAAGGCUGAACCAGCCAUGCCGCGUGAAGGUCAGUGCCCUAUGGGCGUUAAACUUCUUUUGUGCGGGAGCAAUAAUGGUCACGUGUGGCCAGACGAGAGUACCGUACGAAUAAGCAUCGGCUAACUCCGUGCCAGCAGCCGCGGUAAUACGGGGGAUGCAAGCGUUAUCCGGAUUUAUUGGGUUUAAAGGGUGCGUAGGCUGUGAGGUAAGUCAGCGGUGAAAUGCCCCCGCUCAACGGGGUGAAGUGCCAUUGAUACUGCCUUGCUGGAAUGCGGACGCCGUGGGAGGAAUGUGUGGUGUAGCGGUGAAAUGCAUAGAUAUCACACAGAACACCGAUUGCGAAGGCAUCUCACGAAUCCGCGAUUGACGCUGAUGCACGAAAGCGUGGGUAUCAAACAGGAUUAGAUACCCUGGUAGUCCACGCUGUAAACGAUGAUGACUAACCGUCGGCGAUACACAGUCGGUGGCCAAG